rnacentral:rRNA from 1 species
AUGGACGCCGCACUCACCCCCUCCCCGGCAGCCACGACCGACGAUGAGCUCGUCUACGAGUCCAUGCCCUGCAUCCGCAUCUACAGGAACCGCGUGGAGCGCUACCUCGGCUCCGAGUUCGUCGCCGCUUCCACGGACGCCGCCACCGGAGUUACCUCCCGCGACCGCACCAUCUCCCCUCAGGUCUACGCGCGCCUCUACCUCCCCCGCCUCGACGCGGCCGCCAAGCUCCCCGUCCUCGUCUACUACCACGGCGGCGGGUUCUGCCUAGGCUCCGCUUUCAACCCCAUGUUCCACGCCUACCUCAACAACUUGGUCGCGCUCGCCAACGUCCUCGUCGUCUCCGUCGAGUACCGCCUCGCGCCGGAGCACCCCGUCCCCGCUGCAUAUGCCGACUCAUGGGAGGCUCUCACCUGGGCCGUGUCCCACGUUGACGAGCCUUGGCUUGCCGACCACGCCGACUUCUCCCGCCUCUACCUCGGGGGCGACAGCUCCGGCGCCAACAUCGCGCACCACAUGGCGAUGCGGGUGGGCGCGGAGGGGCUGGCCCGGGGCGCCAAGAUCCACGGCCUCGUCAUGAUCCACCCCUACUUCCUGGGGAGCAACAAGGUGGGCUCCGACGACCUGGACCCCACGGCGCGGGAGACCCUAGCGAGCGCAUGGCGGAUCAUGUGCCCGACGACCACGGGGGAGGACGACCCGCGAAUCAACCCGUUGGUCGACGGCGUGCCGGGCCUUGAGGCCCUGGCAUCCGGCCGCGUGCUCGUGUGCAUUGCCGAGGGCGACGUGCUCCGCGACCGCGGCCGCGCUUACUACGACCGGCUGAGGGCGAGCGGGUGGAGCGGGGAGACGGACAUAUGGCAGGCGCCGGGAAAGGGGCACACGUUCCACCUCCUUGAGCCGUGCUGCCAAGAGGCCGUCGCGCAGGACAAGGUCAUCGCCGAGUUCCUCAACUGUUGA